ensembl:lncRNA LINC01122 long intergenic non-protein coding RNA 1122
AGAGGGAGCGCCUGGGACUCGAGACGGCGGCAGGUUCAAUUAGCUAAACAAAGAAAUCAUGGCGGAUUGUUUACAUUUGGCAGCGCCCGGGCUGCGCCGACCGCCGGCCCCGAGCCGCCGCGGGCUCCGAGGAGUCGGCCGAGCUGCUCCCGCGCCCUGGCCGGGGACUUACCAAUUUGGGAUUCUUCCAGGAGCUGAAAACUGAUUGCAAAUAUGAAACAGAUUUCACUACAGGACUUGAACCCUACAUUAAAAAACAACAAGCUCCCCAAAAUAAUUGAAAAAGAUCUUCACCAAAGAGUAGCUGCAAUGUGAAUGGCAGGAUAUGAAGCAAGUAAGAGAGCUAUCACUGCCAAAGGCUACUGACUACAAUGUGGGGAAUCCUGGAAGAGCCCUUCUGUGAAACAACUUGACUGACUAGCAAGGAGCCUGUUUUGUUUUCCAGCUUGAAAGUCACUUUUUGAUUUGUUCUACACACUUCGUCACGUGUUCACUGCACAGGAGAGGUCGACUGGCACUCUGCACUGAGCAGAAUCAUAUGUUACCCUCGCCCUGCCAUUUCCAUCAUUCCACUGUGCUCUCCCUGAACCAGAUGGUGAAAAGAUUAUCUUAAGCUUGGAAUUAAGUGAUGAAAGGGACCUUCGAAAUUAUCAACUCUAAAUACUUCUUUACAGGAAAAUUGAAAGCAGUUAAGAACCUGCCCCCUACCGUGGAGUUCUUGGUGCCGUGAGUUGGAGUUCUUGGUGCCUGGGUGCGUCCCCAAGGCCACUGGUCUUCAGAUCUUUCUUACUUGAGAAGAACGCCUCCGCCUCCUGGCUCUCCCACCAGUGGUAUUGCCACCACCACACACCAGCAUAAAGCACAGAUUGCUGCCCAGCUCCUUGGAGAGGGGCCAGUGCAUUUGUCAGGAAUUGAAAAGUUUUGGAGCCAGUUCGAGGACUUUCUCCUGCACAAAGUGUUGGCUGGAAGCAUGGAGAGCAGCAUCAAGGCAGCUGUGUGGGACUUGGAGUACUGGCAAAGACUGCAAAGUGGAAAAUAAACAGUGUGUCUAUCACCAAGCUACAAGAACACAGCACUCAGAGCAGUGAAAUGACAGUCCAUGGCAAGCAACUAAUUGGUCACCAGCUUUGGAGGAAAUACAUUAUUCCAGACCUCUGUCAUUUACCAUGUUCUUUAAACUAGAGAAAAAUCUGCCAGGUUGAAGUGUUGGCUGCAACCCCCAAAAGAAAGGAAAUAGAGAGUUAAGACUGCGAGGCUGGGCAGGCACUUUGGAGACUGAGUAAUUGAAGACAUCCAUUGCUAGAGAAAGAGUCAGUUUCCUGAGACAUAAUGAAUUCACCCCAUUGCGCACAGGUAUUGUGUGGGUCCAGCACCAGUUAUGUGAUGAACGUUGUAUUUCACAUAGCUUCUGCCUGAGAAUACAGGCUCAAGUGAAUUCAGCAUGUGACCACAUUUUUAUGAGAGCUGUCCCUUUUUUUUCACAGUUUGUCUCUCUAAUUUAUCGUUUCACUUGGAAAGGUUGAUACAUUGAUGAGCUACGAAAAGCAAGAGGGAACAUGCCCAUCUACUAAGAGGAGAAGAGAGCCUAAAACAUACACAUUCACUAAGGAAGAGAAAGCCAAAUGUGAGGUAACAGACACUCACAGGGCUACACCUACAACUGGUCAAUUUAAAAAUGUUAAAAGUAAGGACCUAAUGCAUAAUCAGAUUGACUUAAGCAUGUGCACCUCUGUCCCAAACUGGACAUAUCAUAUGCAGAAGAGAAGGAAUAAGAAGAAACUUCUCACACAAAUACGCAUUUUAUUUAUGUAUUUAAAUGUGCAGCCACAUAGACUCUCCCCAUUCAGGUUAGCUUGGAUGAAUGAGGCCUUAGUGUGCACUGAGAUUGUGAAUUUAAAAACCCAGAGGUCUCGAUAGCAAUAACUGGUUGUUUAUCUUAAUCCACAGAAGUAUGUAGUCCAAAAAUUAUAAAAUAGUUUAAAAUCAUGUAGGUUAAUAGCUUUAUAAAUGUAAGCACUGUUUCUUUGAUGGGCCUUAAAGGGCCCAUAAACUCUUUGGAAUUGUACCCUUUAAUGUGUAUGGAUAUAUGUACAUUUUAGAGACGAAGAAGGUCAGUGGUUUUCCUCGGAUUCUCUAACAAGUACAAGACCAAAAAGAAGCCAAAA